rnacentral:misc_RNA from 1 species
UGAUGAUGGUGAUGAUGAUCAUGGUCGUGAUCAUCGUGAUCGUGGUGAUGAUGAUCAUGGUCGUGAUCAUCAUGGUCA